UACGGAGGGGGCUAGCGUUGUUCGGAAUUACUGGGCGUAAAGCGCACGUAGGCGGCUUUGUAAGUUAGAGGUGAAAGCCCGGGGCUCAACUCCGGAAUUGCCUUUAAGACUGCAUCGCUAGAAUUGUGGAGAGGUAAGUGGAAUUCCCAGUGUAGAGGUGAAAUUCGUAGAUAUUGGGAAGAACACCGGUGGCGAAGGCGGCUCUCUGGACCGAGACUGACGCUGAGGCGCGAAAGCGUGGGGAGCAAACAGG
rnacentral:rRNA from 1 species